AACUUUAAUAAGACCAUAACAAUGUUAAACAAGCUUUAAUCAAAUUCUAAGAAACCUCAAAGGAAUUACAAAGAAACAAUAAGAAAUCUUAAAAGAAAUAUUAGAAUGAUCACAAAUAUAUCUCAAAUACAUCUUCAUUCAAUCUUAAUUUAAUCCUAGUUGAAAUCCUAUUGGACUUCAUUCAAACUUUAGGCCAAAAACUAACUAAAUCUUAAAUCUCAAACAAACCUUAAUAAAAUUCUAAAUCCUAAAUCAAAUCCUAAUCAAAUCCUAAAUCAAACCUUAAUCAAAUCCUAACCAAAUCUUAAAUCCUAAAUCAAAUCCUUAAUCCUAAACCAAAUCCUAACCAAAUCUUAAAUCCUAAAUCAAAUUCUAAAUCCUAAACCAAAUCCUAACCAAAUCUUAAAUCUUAAACCAAAUCC
rnacentral:lncRNA from 1 species